GAUGAACGCUGGCGGCGUGCCUAAUACAUGCAAGUCGAGCGAACAGAUGAGGAGCUUGCUCCUCUGACGUUAGCGGCGGACGGGUGAGUAACACGUGGAUAACCUACCUAUAAGACUGGGAUAACUUCGGGAAACCGGAGCUAAUACCGGAUAAUAUAUUGAACCGCAUGGUUCAAUAGUGAAAGACGGUUUUGCUGUCACUUAUAGAUGGAUCCGCGCCGCAUUAGCUAGUUGGUAAGGUAACGGCUUACCAAGGCAACGAUGCGUAGCCGACCUGAGAGGGUGAUCGGCCACACUGGAACUGAGACACGGUCCAGACUCCUACGGGAGGCAGCAGUAGGGAAUCUUCCGCAAUGGGCGAAAGCCUGACGGAGCAACGCCGCGUGAGUGAUGAAGGUCUUCGAAUCGUAAAACUCUGUUAUUAGGGAAGAACAAAUGUGUAAGUAACUAUGCACGUCUUGACGGUACCUAAUCAGAAAGCCACGGCUAACUACGUG
rnacentral:rRNA from 1 species